GAAAGAGAGAGCACACAGAAACAAACGUCACUGCUUUGGCAAUUGCAAGAAGUUCUGGCGGCUAUACACCAAGAAUCAAUUUCUUUAACUUGCCUCCGACGAAACACAAGUCAGUCCCUUUGUUUUUGAAUUCUAAAGAAAAGGAAAGUAUAAAUCUAUAACUGCCCAUAUCCAUAGCCAUAGAAGAAGUACAAAAUGGUGCUUUGGGAGAUCACAUUGGGAACUGCGUAUUUCUUGGGUCUCAAACGGGCUUACAGACUCGCUUUGAGGAUUCAACGUAGGCUUGUAUCUCCUAAGCGUCCUAAGAUACGCCAGUUUCUUCAUAGUUUUGCACUGCUUACCUUGCUGCAAUCAAGGCUUAACUACCACUUCUUCUUUCCAACAUCAUAGACGAACACGUGCCGUUUUUGAUGUUGCACUCAAGGUUCACCAGAAUAUACAACAGAGAGACAUAGAAGUAGGUCGGAAUCUUGGUAACUGGAUUCUGCGAUGGCUGGACCGAAUGAAACCUUCUGCUCAGAUACGUGGUCCCUCGCCAAUGAAACCCCCAAAUGGUGCUAACACAAAUAUGAACAUGAAAAAGCAGGUAACCAGCUCCUCCCACCUGAAAACUUCUGGGAGCAUUCAGUCACCCAGAAGCCAGGAUUCUAGUAGGCAUCUGUUCACUGCAUCAAGAAAUAUGUGGUCUCAACCUUUUCCUGCAAUUGCAAUGAUGAUGCGGCCACCAAGACCUGCUGGAACUAUUACCCAGUACAGACACUUGUGUAUCAGUGGUCGGCCAAACUACAUUGGUGGAGCAAGUAGUUUUGAAGGAGUUAUUAGGAAGGAUAUAAUGCAGUACUUGCUGCAAAACUGACAACUGGCCGUGGCAGGUAAUCUUUUUCAGUGGAUGUUGGACUUUGAGAUCAAACCUUGGAAGUAAUUACUUGGAGUCUGUUCAUUCAUUUUGUCGGAACUAUUGGUUGAGAACUUUUUUUUUCCCUUUCGAUCUCAUAUCCAUAAUAAUUUUUUGUUUCCUCGCUCAGCUAGUUUCUGCAUAUUCUAUUCUCUUUUUCCUCGCUCAGCUGGUUCCUGCAUAUUCUAUUCUCUCUUUUUUCUGGUAGUAUUUUAAAGCCUGAACUUACAGGUGUUUUUAUUGUUAAUAAGAGAUGUUUCUCCAUUGAAUAUUUCGGAGUGAUUAUUAUUCUGAGCAAGCUUGUUUUAUCUAGCGUCUCUGGUGCAGGCACCAAACCAUUCUUCUUGGGCGAGUAUUAUCACCUCUCUGUCUGAUGAAGAGUCGGGCUGGGUUUGGGGUUGGAUUGGUUUGGAGUAGCAAAAGAUUAUAUAUUUAGAAAAAGAUUUAUAAUUAUAAAUAAUAAAAUAUGUUAAUUUAUUAUAGAAAUGUUUUUUAGAGGUUGAAUUAAUCUAAGAAUUUCUUAAAGAAAUCAUGCAAGUGCAGCAGGUGUAUGAUUCUUUGAUUAAACCAAUGUAUAGAAGUUAGUCCUUGAAAAGAUAUGCUCGUGAUUCAAAGAAGUUACAUUAAUUUUAUCUUUAUGCAAGCCGCUUUCUAUGCGUCCUGUAGUUUUGUAUUUAUCUUUAAUUUAUUUGAGGGAAAGAAUUGGAUUUGCAUUUGUCUCUGCCAUAAGUCCCUACAAGUUCUACAGUGAUUGGUAAGACUAUUUUAGCUUUGAAUCGAGUUAUGAGAGGGUCGUUUUGUUGCAGUAGGACCCUCAAGGAGCAUUGUGCUAAACUAGGUUUUUUUUUUCUUCUGCAUUACACAUUUUUAAUAUUCGAUGUAU
rnacentral:misc_RNA from 1 species